AAACUUUCAACAACGGGUCUCUUGGUUCUGGCAUCGAUGAAGAACGCAGCGAAAUGCGAUAAGUAGUGUGAAUUGCAGAAUUCAGUGAAUCAUCGAAUCUUUGAACGCACAUUGCGCCCCUUGGUAUCCCGAGGGGCAUGCCUGUUCGAGCGUCAUUU
rnacentral:rRNA from 1 species